rnacentral:lncRNA from 1 species
GGGAGAUUUGGGAGCAAUUCCAGGGAUUUGGGGUGUGAAAACAGAAAAACAGAGCCUGGAUUGACAGGAUGCAAUAGAACAUACAGAGAGAAUUUGAGAGGAAUUUGGGGAGAAAGCUGGGAAAAUUGGGGCCUGAGCUUACACUGGAAAAGCUGGGGGAAAACAAAGAGAAACAGAAACACACACAACAGAUGUGGGAAGGAACUGCAGCGUGUAGAGACAUUUGGGGGAAUUUAGCAGAGUUUGGGAGGGCAGGAACAGUUUGGGGGAACUGGGGGUUACAAACAACUCAAAAGUACCAUGAAAAAAGGAACACAAAAUAUCAUAGUAACUGGGGGUGCAUACAGGGUCGUUUAAACUACAAAAUAAUACAGAAAAAAUACAAAAGGAUGUGGGUACGCGUUGGGAGAAGAGCAGAGCUUAGGGUCAGAGACACAAAGUUUGGGUUGGUUGUGCACAGGGAAUGUCCAGGGACAAGUAUGAGUCAGGGACACACGGGGUCUGGGACAUGGCAGCGCAAUGGAAGCACGUACCGAUGCGGCGCUCCUCCAGCAGAGACUUGAUCUCAGCAAUCUUGUCCAGCGCCUUCCGCAGGAUGCUGCAGAGUGCAUCGGAGUGGCUGUCACGCAUAGGGGGUACGGGGCAGGAUGUAGGGUUGUUGGGGUGCAGGGUGUGGGGAUGUGGGUAUGUGGGGGCUGCCCUACUUGCACUCGGCCUCAGCGUCCGCCUUGGCAGUGGUGUAUAGCCCGCGCAGCUUCGUGCGGUAGUACGGAGAGACUGGAGAGGGGGGUGUAAGAACACCUAUGAGGCCAUGCCCCCGUCGGCCACGCUCUUUUUCCCAAACCCCGCCCCCUUCCCCAAGCUCUGCCCCUUUCCCAUGGCCCUACACGAAAAUUGCCCCCCCCCCCCAUAACCCUUCCCUGUCCGCUAAAAUCCUUCCUGUCCCCACCCCCUCCCUAUUACUCGGCUCCCUUCCCAGAAGCUUGCCUCUCCUCACACAACUAUCCCCACAAAGCCCCAUCCCGCAGCCCCCUUUAGGUCCCCAGCGCCAACCCCGCCGCGUGGCCCUGCUCUCUCACUCUUGUUCUCGGUCUGCAUCCUCUCGUGCGUUUUCUGGAUGUUGAUGAGGUUGUGCUCGCUGCGGGAGCGCUCCUCCUGCGUGUGCCCCAGCAGCCGCUGCAGCUCGGCCAGCAGCUCGGCGAUGCGCGAGUCCGCCGACACCAGUGCCAUAACGGCGGCGACAGCGCAGCGCCUGCGGAGCGCUCUACGCACGCGCCAGUCUCGACAAAGCACUACGCAGGAGCCAUUCUAGAGACAGCAAUACGCACGCGUGAUCCUGGAAAAAUUACUAGGCAUGUGCCACGCUUGCUGCCGCACUGCGCAUGCGCUAUGCUGGAGACAGUAUUACGCAUGCGCCAGUCUCUGCACAGCGCUGCAUGCGCCAAUUUCGAGAUAGCAACACGCAUGCGCCAGUCCCCCCCCCCACAGCACUACGCAUGCGCUCAUCCAAGCACGGCACUGCGCAUGCGCCCGUCUUGAGACAGCCACGCGCAUGCGCUAGACCUUGCACAGGAGUACGCAUGCUCCAAGCUCGUUACAGUACUACGCAUGCACCAUUCACGCGACAGGUAGCACGCAUGCGCGCUUUCGGAUACCAGAGACAGUUGUACGCAUGCGCAAGUGGAAGACCCGCCUAGAAGAACAGAGACCAUUAGCGUAUGCAGAUUCAUGGAGCAGAGCGGUUAGAGGAAAAAAAAAAAAAGGCUACUUCCCCGUUUCUGUGCGCAUGUGUGUUACUGCACGUAAGACUACCGCUUGUAGAUGCAGGCGGACUCAGUGCAGAGUGACUGGCGAGGAAACUCCACUUCUUUGCAUGUGCCUGUUACUGCCUGAAGGACCAAUGAGUGCAGACACUGGCAGUCUCCCUUUGCUGAGCAGUUAGAAGAGAGGGACGCCACCUCUGCACGUGUGCGCACGUGCAUGCUACGUCUGGAGAAGUCCUGCUGCGGAAUGCUGCUCCCCCCAUCACCAUGCGUCCCUUCAUGCCUACCCCCGCAGUGCACCGCUCUGAGAACCUUCUGCAGCACACAGCAGCAGUGGCACCAGUGCCCUAUGCCCCGGGAAGAGGCAGACGAGUACCGUACUGCACGUGCCAAGGGGAUCAGGACGCCCCGUUCUAGCGGACCGCUGCCCCUUUCCAGGACUGCCUAACUGAUGUUGGAUUAAACAUCGUGAUUUAGAGAGCCAGAACCCUCUGUGAGUAGAAAACAGUAACGACUGUGGAUGCACGCCCAGCAGUGCAAAUAGAGCUUGCCUGUAUAAGACAAGUGGACCAUCUGUUUCAGACUGCUUUUUAUUAAGUAGCAUAACACCACAUCUCUAAUGCACAAAUGAUUAACUAUACUACAUCUUGUCUCUAAAAUAAUGAAAGGGAUAGAAUAUGUUCACUAUCGAAAGAAAAGAACUGUUCUACAUAGAAAGUAAAUAAUUUCCUGGCAAAAAAAAAGAAACAGUCUUUUACCAACAGAUACAAUUUCAACUAAAGUUAUAAAUAUAUGAAAAACUGUUCUCUAAUACUAUGGAAAAUAAUAAAAUCACCUUGCAGUCAAAAAUUAUUUCAACAGCUCUUGUUAUGAGUUAAUGUUGCUCAUCGCUCCGUUCAGAUGCAGGACAACUGGCUGUAUACUUUUUCUUCAAGCCUUUCAAAUAUAUUUGCAAGCUAUCCGAAUCCAAUCGCGAAUUUCUAGCAGUCUGAACCAAUCUCAUAGCUAAGUGGUAUACAGCUCUGUGUUUCAUCAUCUCAGGAGUGGUUCUCUGUCUGUGCUGUUCUUAAAAGCAUACACAUACUUUAAAAUAGGAAAUUAAUAACUUUCUAUUAUUAAAAUAUAAGCAUUGAAGGGCUUUUUUUCCACGCUAUUUCUGAUCUGCUGAUUCUUGUUGGUACACCAAAAUUACAGCCAGUACUCCUGAACCCCAAAGGCUGCUUUCUAUUGUCACCUAACAAAGGCCUUUACCAAAAUCUCUUACAAGUACUUUCAGAAAUCAAAAUGUUACUUUCUUGAUAACAUCCGUCAUCAUAAAACCCUAUGUAGUGUUUAUGCUGUAAUCUUUCAGAAACAUUUAAAAUAAACCAGAGUUUUGCAAAAACUGAGAAUGACAGCAGUAUACAUUUAUAAAUAGCUGCUACAUACCAAAAUUUGUUUUGCAAUAUGGUUUGUGAUUGCCUUUGCAUCCAAAAUUAUGGAUGGUGGUAGAGAGGAAACUUCUGCAGCUUUUAAUCCUAAACAAAGGAAACACAAAUCAGGAUCUAUGAUAACAUUUUAUCCUACCCUCCACAGUAUUUUAUAAUCAGCUCAUUUUAAAGGGUAAAAUAUUCAUCUAAAAAGUUAUUUUGAUAUCAUUUUUCUGUCUCUUUUUCCAUGAAUACUGUUUUAAGAGUUACUGAAUAAAAUGUCUACUUUGUUACAAUGUGGCCCCUAAAAUAUAAUUCCAUGUUAAGUUACUGCUGGCACUAAGUGGGCAGGAUCAGAUACUCCAAAGGAUGAAGGAAGAAUGGCACAGCGGUCAUGAUAGCUUUCUGUUUUGUUUUUUCAAGUUCGGGUUCUGCCAAAUGUACUCACUCCUGAAUGUGGGUAUUUAGUAGAUGUGGGUGUCAUUUUCCAACUUCUGUUCUUUGCCAGCUGCAAAGCUGUCAGGUAUUUCUUUUAAUUAUUUUUUUUUCAAACUUUUGUCUCUGACUCCGGCUGUUCAGAGGAAAUUCUGUGCUUCAGCAGGUGUUCUAAUAAUGCAGGGUUAGAAAUGGUCAAGAAGAGCCCCUGCACUUUUUAUUUAUUUAUUUAUUUUAAUUAAAUACAGCAUUAUUGAAUUAAGACAAAGCCAAGAGACAGCAACACAGAGUUACCAAAGGUCUCCUGUUCACAGAAUCACAGAGUUGUAGGGGUUGGAAGGGACCUCUAGAGGCAUUUUAAGUCCUGUCAAUUCAAGCCAGAUAAGAAUAAUUUGUAGUUUUCAGUCACCACUGGCUUGCAGUAAUCAUGUGCGACUAUUAAAUCUCACCUAAACCACAGGUUCAGCUACAGAAUCUUGCAUUUAGAAAUAUGGAUUUCUACAGCUCUUUAAAUCAUGUAGUUAUACCUUACUGUCACUCACGAUUUGUUGACUCAUAAUCCUUUAAUUUGCACACUCUUCUACUAAGUUAGUCACAGUGGAAUAUAUUACCAUAGUUCUUUUCCUCUGUAUAUCCUUUCGACAGUGUGUAAGUGUACGUAAUCUUCUCCUUUCCAGCACUGCUUCUCACAUGCUGCACUUCAAAAUGGUAAUUUUCCACAUUGGGAUACAAAGCAUCCAUAUGACACAGUUCCAGGAAAUGUGUUGCAAACAAAGUAAAUGCCUAAAUAAGAAAAAAAAGGAAAAAAAAAUAUGAUUCAAAUGAUCCUUUGAUAAAUUACAACAAAUGAGAAAAAUAGUCUCACAGUUCUCCAAGUUUUUAUCCACAACUCUGAAGAGCCAUAUUUGAACUGCUAAAGUAUGACUAAUGCAAAUAAUGCAAAAAAGCCCUAAGUGAUGAGUUCUAUCAUUGGCAAGCAUGUGUGUUUCCACUUAGGACUCCCCAGCUCUUUUCUCAGCAGAAGGGAAACACCAGAUAGAACAGGAAGUCCAUGAUACUUUUAAAAUGUGACAGGUUAUUCUGAAUGACCAUCAAAUGGGUGCUUUACUUUUUUCAGUGUAUGUUUUUCCAAAGGCACAAGCUACAGAAAACAUGUGAGCUUUCCAGAUAAAACCACAACAGUACUCUGAAUGAACUCAGAUUCAGUUUCUUAUCAAUAAACAUCUGUAAGUUGACAACAAGCUGAGGCUAAUCACAUAACUAGUAACAGAGGAGCAACUUUCAACCCAUCUAAAAUCCUUCGACAUUCUUCUAAACAAACCUCUGACCUAUGUAAUGAAUACCUUGGCUGUGUGGAAAUACUGCAUUAAGUAGUUGUAUGGAACUUCCAUCCCCUUUAACGUUCAAGCAUACAAAGUACUAACUAAGCAAACAUGACGAGGCUGGGUUAGUAUUUUUCUAGAUAAGAAAGCAAGUUUUCAAGCAAGGUGCAGAGAUGGUGACCAGUGACCGGAAAUGCAGAAUAUGUCAGCAUUUUUUUCUGUCACUGUAACUCCUACUGUUCACUGGUUAUGAAAAAUGUCAUAUCUAGGCAAUAAAUCUCUAUAAAAUUUUAUCUAAAUUAUGAGAAACCAGAAUACUUACAGUGCAAUAAAAUAAUUAGAAAAAGUUUACACUUUUUUUUUUUUCAGAAUUACCUUCAAAUUCAAGAGAUAUUCACAGGCAGCAUAACAAAUACCAAUACCUUCUUCAGCACUGGUACCUCUGCCAAGUUCAUCAAUUAUGAUGAGUGAUUUGUCGUUAGCAUUUUGUAUGAUGUAUGUUAUCUAGGAAAAUAUUUUAUUAGUUAUCAUUCCUAGGAAAGCAUCUUUUAAAAAUCAUGCUACUAAUUGAAAUACCUUGUGUUAUUCAGAUAAAAAUACAGAAAUGUAAAAGACUCAAGUCAGAUUCAUUAGUUUUACUUUUUCGUACCUUUCAAAUAGCUGUAAAUUCUAAACCAUCAAUGGCUCAAUCCUACAACCCUCCUUCUCUUCUCCACUGAACCAAUGUACUCUUUGCUGGGUAAAAAGCUGGCUGGACAGCUGCACCCCGAGAGUGGUGGCAAAUGGAGUUCAAUCCAGGCAGUGUCUGGUCACUAGUGAUAUUCCUCAAGGGUCAGCAUUGGGGCCAGACCUGUUCAUCAGUAUCUUUACUGAUUAUCUGGAUGAGGGGGAUUGAGUGUACCCUCAUUAAGUUCACAGAUGACUCCAAGCUGGGUGGGUGUUGAUUUGCCUGAGGAUAGAAAGGCCCUACAGAGGGAUCUGGGUAGGCUGGAUCAAUGGGCUGAGGCCAACUGUAUGAGGUUUCACAAGACCAAGUAACAGGUCCUGCACUUUAGUCACAAUAACCCUAUCAAACGCUACAGGUCUGUGGGAGAGUGGCUGGAAAGCUGCAUGGAAGAAAAGGGUCUGGGGAGAUUAGUUGACAGCUGGCUGAACAUGAGCCAGCAGUGUGCUCAGGUGGCCAAGAAAUCCAACAGUAUCCUAGCUUGUAUCAGAAAGACUGUAGCCAACAGGACCAGGAAGAUGACUGUCCCUCUGUAUUUGGCACUGGUGAAUUCACACCUUGACUACUGUUCAGUUUUGGGCCCCUUAUUACAAGAACGAUAUUGAGGCACUGAAGAGUGUCCAGAAAAGGGCAAUAAAGCUGUUAAGGGUGUGGAGCACAAGUCUUAAAGGGAACAGGUUGAGGGAACUGGGAUUGUUCAGUCUGGAGAAGAGGAGGCUCAGGGGAGACCUUCCUGCUCUCCAGAAGUCCCUCAAAUGAGGUUAUAGCGGGG